GCCGUGGUGGCAUAACAGUUAAGCACUUGGCUGCUAACCAAAAGGUUGGUGGUUUGAACCCACCCAGCCUCU
rnacentral:tRNA from 1 species